UGUUCACGCCUCCGCUGGUUGUUGCCGAUUGUUGAUGUGUUGUAGAAAUUUGAUCUGUUGUGCAAAAGGGAAGGGAAGAGUUUUGAGGUUUUGAGGCAGCUAAAAAGAAUAAUAUGAUGCCUUUGUGUGUGUGUGUGUGUGUGUGUGUGUGUGUGUGUGUGUGUGUGCAUUCCAAACAAGCCAUUUCAUGCUCACCAGUACUUAAUAUGGCAGCAUUAUUAGUAGUGUAUAAGUUUUAGCAGUAGAAUGUAUUAGACUUGGGGUUGAUACUCCACAUGUGACAAUACUACUUUUAAUUUUAUGCUAUUUAAAUCCCAAUUAUUUUAGCUGCCAGUAUAUUCCGUGUAAUUCUCUUGUGUAGACGGGAACAUGUACUUAAGUUAGCCUCCCCACACACUAGGUCCCCGCACACUAGGAUACUCUCCCCACACACUAUAGGAUACUCUCCCCACAUAUCAGUUGACUCACCCUUUAUAUAUAUGUAGCCACCCUCACUCUCUCCUCCGUCCCUCACACACACACAAGUCUCGGCCUCAAUCAUCCCUUGCAGACUAAGUGUUGUGCCUUGCUUAGUCCGAAAGACAUUUUUCCGCUGACAAUAAGCCUCCUUACCUCCGUCAGAGAGGGAGACGUGUGUGUGAGGCGAGUGAGGAGCCUGGUGUGCCGCAAGACCAGCUAACAAGCCCCAAAACACACUCCGCCAGGGUAUGAGUUCUUGAUCACAUUGAGGGUGAAUACACAUGUGCACACACUUAGCCACGUACACAGGGCACAAGUGUACACGGAUUCCACGUACACAGGGCACAAGUGUACACAGAUUUGUAUCCUCUCAUUACUUGUACACAUGCACCAUAAUUUUUGCAGCUGUUGUAUGCAUGUGUGUUUUUAUUUAUAUUAGUUUUUAUUUUUAUUUUUUACGUGUACGCCUGUAGCGCCAGUAGGCUCUCUCGAGGGGCCUGGAUGGUAGUCGGGCCCGUCGUGGCGCAGGCAAGUGUUUAUAGUGGCGCCAUCUUCUAUUUAUAAUUUUGUUAGCCUAGUACACUCCAAAGGUUGUAUAGCUGCCAUAUGCACAGAACUACUACUUUAUUUGUGGUUACCUAUCUAUUUAUACGAACUCGUCUUCAACUUUUGGGGUUUUAUUUAGUGCUUGUUUUUAUGAGCUGCUUCACGACUGACUUGUACAUCAACUUAAUCUGUUUUGUCUGGGUAGUUUGUUUCGUUGUCUAGCCUGUUUUCUAUUCCUCUCUUUUACAGACUUAAACAAAACAUGGACUUAAUUUAGGCCCCUUUCCUUCACACUAAAGGAACUUAAUCUGUUUUCUAGAGGUUGUUUUUAAGAUUUUCAACUAUACCUCAACUAAUCCAUUUUGCCUAGUUCUUGUUUUCUAUUCCUCUCUGCUACAGACUCAAACAUGGAAUUGAUUUUGGCCUCUCUACUAUACACUACAUCAACUUAAUCUGUUUUCUAGUUGUUUUUUAAGCCCCUCAACUAUACAUUAACUUAAUCUGUUUUGUCUAGUGCUUGUUUUCUAUUCCUCUCUGCUACAGACUCAAACAUGGAAUUGAUUUUGGCCUCAACUUCACAUAUCUGUUUUCUAGUGGUUGUUUAUAAGCCCCUCAACUAUACAUUAACUUAAUCUGUUUUGUCUAUUGCUUGUUUUCUAUUCCUCUCUGCUACAAACUCAAACAUGGAAUUGAUUUUGGCCUCAACUUCUCACUACAUCAACCUAAUCUGUUUUCUAGUGGUUGUUUUUAAGCCUCGACUAUACAUUAACUUAUACAUUAACUAAUCCCUUUUGUCCAGUACUUGUUUUUCUAAGUCUCACUGUGACUGACUUAUUAAUCAACCUUAUCUGUUUUGUCCAGUGCUAGUCUUUUUCAGUACAUCAAGUUAAUCUAUUUUCUCCACUGCUUGUAUUUCUUAGCCUCUCUUCUACGGACUUAUACAUCAACUUAAUCUAUUUUCUCUGGGGCUUGUCUAUUUCAGUACAUCAAGUUAAUCUAUUUUCUCCAUUGCUUGUACUUCUUAGCCCCUCUACGACUGACUUAUACAUCAACUUAAUCUAUUUUCUCUAGGGCUUGUCUAUUUCAGUACAUCAAGUUAAUCUAUUUUCUCCACUGCCUCUAUUUCUUAGCCUCUCUACUACUGACUUAUACAUCAACUUAAUCUAAAUACAUUACCUUAAUCUAAUCCUUUCUGCAGCUGACUCGCAUACAUUAGCUUACUCUGUUUCUCUUAGUGGUAGAGUCCCCUCAUCUCAUGGCGGUGUGACUUGAGGCAUUGGGAUGGGUCAAGAAGUUCUAAAAGUGCAUCGUGUAAUAACUUCUCAGGAUGUGUAGAUGAGACAAACACUUUUUAUAACUAGUUCUUGUGGGUGACUGAAUCUAAACAGGCUCACUUCUUCCUUCUUUUUCAUUUUUUAUCUUUUUAUACAAUUUUAACACAAUUUUUUCUACUGCGUUUCACAUUUUAUAUAUUUUUACUUGUUCAAUGCUUAACCCGGUGAUCAGCCAAACACUUUUUACAACUAGUUCUCGUGGGUGACUGAAUCUAAACAGGCUCACUUGCUUUCCUUCUUUUUCAUUUUUCUAUCUUUUUAUACAAUUUUAACACAAUUUUUAAUGCUACGUUUAACAUUUUACAACUUGGCUCUUGUGGGUGACUGAUUCUAAAAGGGCUGACUUGCUUUCUUCUUUAAUUUUUUACCUUUUUAUACAAUUUUAACACAAUUUUUACUGCUACAUUUAACAUACAUUUCUUAACUUAUUCAACACAACCCGGUAGCAGCGAGAAACAUGAUCCCCUUAGCUCCCGAGUUAAGCAUUUUUUUUAAUACUGCCCCUUGGUUUGGUAUUUUAGUAGUACAUGUGUGUUACUAUAUUUGGUAAGGGUGUUGUUGCCUUUGUUUGUGUGUCUCAGAUUGUUUCCGUUCAUCUUUUUACACAAGUUUUAAAUAUACAGGCGUCACACAAACAGUACGGUUUCUAAUAGUUCGGUUUUGGUUUUAUAUGGAUUUUCAUAGAAGAUUUUUUUAGGGUUUUUAAAUUUCCCGGUGAACAGGAAAUUUAAAAACCCUUAAAAGAUCUUCUAUGACAAUCCGUAUAAAACCGGAACUACUAUUUGAGGGACGGCUGUAUAUACGUACUUCAGACAAUAGGAAAUUGUUUUCUUUUUAUUCAGAUAUUUAAAAUGUUACUGUUAUCUAUAGUUUUUUUCCGUUUUCUGUUUCUCUACAAGUAUUUAUUUUUUUAGUCUUGGUGUUGAGCGGGGAUAAGCUGCUUAGGUUAUCCUUCAAGGAGUGUAAGCAAGAGGCCGGUGACUGUGGAGCCCCAAUAGACAUGCAGCGGGCAUUUUUUGAGCUCAUGUUCUAUAGACAAAUCAGUACAAUGCAUUCCCCUUCACUUCUUAAUAAAUAAACCCCAUUCCCAUUAACUUCUGCAGCCCCUUCCUCUUCCCCAUGAACUGUGUGUCAUUGGUCAGUUCAUAAGCAAGCUACACUCCUCUCUAGCUCAGGCUGAUAAAGUAUGCAGAUCUAGACAAAUGUAGACAAUUUAAAAGGGUAGCACAUUAAGAUAUAUGUAUAAUGUAUAUUCAAAUUCUUACCCCCAAUGUCGUCCAAACUAAUUUCUGAGUGCAGUGCCGCCUCGCCUCCUGUGUACUAGGCCUAAGGUUGGUUCCCUGCUGGGCCACCUGGUGAAUACGUCGUUAGGUUUUGCUUUAGGGCUCAGGUGUUUGCUUUUUGUUAGUUACUCCCGGUGGUGGGUAGGGUGGUGAUGGUAUAUUUCCAAGGUGUAUAUUUUAUCCGUUAAUUUAAUCUACCGUGUGUGUGUGUGUGUGUGUGUUUGUUCAUUGUACUGGGCCUUAAGUCCUUCAUGUCUGCCUCCUGUGUGGCAAGGUUCACUUGAUGUUUUGUUGCCACCUCAAACAAGUAGUUCAUGGCACAUUUGGCUUCGAGCAUACUUUGUAUGGAUCCAAACCUCUUCUUGUUUCAAUCGUCUUCAUCGUCAUCCACAGACUUGAGCCAAUUGGUUUAUCUCUUCCUGCAUCGCUUGGUUACGAUUCAGGAGAGCAUUGACCUCAGUGCUAUCAGAGGAAGUUCCUCCACUGCUGCUGUUUGAGGCCAACAAUUGGAUCUGUAGCUGCAUGACCUGCUCCCUUAACUUGUGGAGCUCGGGUGCCUGUGGGUCAUGGUUGACAAUUGGCUUGUUCUUGAUCUUACAGGCACGGUCAGCAUAGCGAAGGGUACUCAAGGACUCCUCCAGAUUACUGUCCGCUGGUGACACACACGCCACCAUUACUGUGUGGGAGUUGCCUCCGAGGGAGUCUUGUAAUAAUCUUGUUAGCUUUGAAUCUUUGUAUGGAAUGUGACCUCAGCCUCCUUCCUCACAGAGAGUUGAUAUAACAUUCCCAAGAGCCAGGAGACCCUUGUUAAUGUUCACUCCCUCUUUGAACCGUUCCUCGGUGGCACCAGUCUUCUUGGCUCGUUCGCAGUCGGUCAGGUCCACCAAGUGAAACUUUGAGGAUACAAUGCUCUCCCCUUUAUUUUUGUUUUCCUGUUGGACGUGCAAGGAGGAGUGUCAUGGGAGUGGCUGGAGUGGGCGUUCAUGGCCGUGGCGCCGGUAGCCCUCUACGCUGCGCCCUGCUCCAGACACUUCAUGGUCUCUUCAAUGCUGGUCACGGGAAUCUCGGUAACCCCACCAAUUUAUGUCCCACCUCGGGUGUCUUCUCGGAUGUCCACAGUACAUUCAUCCUUGGUAGAUUUGUUGCUUAGUGGAUUGAAGAGGGUCGCCUUGUAGAGCUCAAUGAAGGAUACUUUGAUGGUGUCCUCAUCGUCCGUCUGACUUGCCACACCAUCAAACAUGUCCUGUACUGCGCGGGGGAUGAUGUCGCACCAUCCGAGUUAUCCGCUUUAGUGCUCGACGUGGUGCCCGUGGUGUGGGUUUUGCCCGAUCCUGUCUGGCCGCAUGCGAGUACAGUCACAUCAUUGAGAGCAUUGACCGGCGGUCAAUGCUCUCAAUGCUUUAAAAAGAUUCUGGACAACAUUCUUUAUCGAGGUUUCAUAAACACAUCCUUGGGUGGUGAGUGUGUGUGUGUGUGUGUGUGUGUGUGUGUGUGUGUGUUGAUUGUCCCAUUCGCAUGAGUGGUUUGAUUUCUCAUUAAUAUUUAUUUUGAUUAUUUUUCUUUCCAUUAAAACUGGGGAAGGAAGGAGUGAAUUAUCAUUAUCAUUAGCUGUCAACAUUCCUACUUGAGCUGUGGACUGUAUGUAAGGACUGAAUAGAUAUGGAGUUACUGGUGAAAAAUGUGUUGUUUAAGUUUUCCCAACUCGCUGAUCAGGUGAAGAAUUUAAGCCGUCCGCUGCGAUUGGCACGGAUUUGGCUUUCACUGGUAGCCUGGUAACAUAUACUCCCAGGUCAUUGCCUCUGUGGUGGAUAGUGGAGUGUUUCCCACGUGGUAUUGGUAUGCUGGAUAUCCCCUCCCAAGAAACAUGACUUUACAUUUUUUAUCAUUGAAUUGUAGCAGUCACUUUUUGAUCCAUUCCUGUCGCUUGGUGAUGUCUUCUGGUAGGAAAUCCGCAGUCAAGGGUUAAAGGGAGAUAGCAUGAGGGGGGGCAAGUAUAGACUCCACACCUUUACUAGCCAUAUGACCACACUACAGUGACAUGGAUAAGACUGAAAAGAUGAGAAUUAAAGUGGAGUGGGUCACAAAAUUAUGGGUGAACAGUAGUAUUAGAAUCUGCGGGUAUAUAUUUUUGCUUAUGUAUCUGACAAGUUAAAAGAAAUUCUGAAGUGAGGAUACUUUAAUAAUUGAAAAUGGACAAUGAACUUACUUUUUUGACUAUGAAACCAAUACUUUUGUGUAUGUAUCUGGUAGUUAAAAGGAAUUCUGAAGUGUGAACAGACUGUAGUAAUUAGGAAUGGGCAAUGAUCUUACACUUUCACCCAAAGAAUUAAGACUUUUUAUGUAUGUGUCUGGUAAUUUAACGACAUUCUGAAGUGAUGAUAGACUUUGAUAACUGGGAGUGGCCAUUUACCUUACGUAAUUAGGAAUGGGCAAUGAUCUUACACUUUCACCCAAAGAAUUAGACUUUUUAUGUAUGUGUCUGGUAAUUUAAAGACAUUCUGAAGUGAUGAUAGACUUUGAUAACUGGGAGUGGCCAUUUAACUUACUCUUUUACUGACAGAAUUGAUCCUUUUGUAUAUGUAUCUAGUUAUUUAUAGCCAUCUAGAAGUGAAGAUUGACUUACAUACUUAUGGAAUGGACAUUAAACGUGCACUUUUACCUGAAUUAUAGAUCUUUUUUUGUGUGUAUGAUGAUUUAUAGCCAUUUAGAAGUGAAGAUUGACUUUUAUUUAUGGAAUGGACAUUAAACUUACACUUUACCUAAAUUAUAGAUCUUUUUCUGACACUUUUACCUAAAUUAUCGAUCUUUUUCUGUAUGUAUGAUGAUUUAUAGACAUCUAGAAGUGAAGAUUGACUUAGAUACUUAUGGAAUGGACAUUAAACUUACACUUUACCUAAAUUAUAGAUCUUUUUCUGACACUUUUACUUAAAUUAUUGAUCUUUUUCUGUGUAUGAUAAUUUAUAGCCAUUUAGAAGUGAAGAUUGACUUAAAUACUUAUGGAAUGGACAUUAAACUUACACUUUUACCUAAAUUAUCGAUCUUUUUCUGUGUGUAUGAUAAUUUAUAGCCAUUUAGAAGUGAAGAUUGACUUAAAUACUUAUGGAAUGGACUUUAAACUUGCACUUUUACCUAAAUUAUCGAUCUUUUUCUGUAUGUAUCUGAUGAUAUAUAGCCAUUUAGAAGUGAGGCUUGACUUAAAUACUUACGGAAUGGACAUUAAACUUACACUUUUACCUUAAUUAUUGACCUUUUUCUGUAUGUUUCUGGUAAUUUAUUGAAGUUUACAGUGGGGAUAAAGUGUAAUAAGUAGGAAAUGGAGAAUGAACUUACACAUACUUACAAAUUUUAACUUUUUCUGUAUGUAUUUGAUGAUUUAAAGAAAGUUCAGAGUGAGAAUAGGUUGCAGUAAUUGGGAACGGACAAAUUUAAACUCUUUCUGUAUGUAUUUGAUGAUUUAAAGAAAGUUCAGAGUGAGAAUAGGUUGUAGUAAUUGGGAACAGACUAAUUUAAACUUUUCUUGUAUGUAUUUGAUGAUUUAAAGAAAGUUCAGAGUGAGAAUAGGUUGCAGUAAUUGGGAACGGACAAAUUUAAACUUUUUCCUGCAUGUAUUAGAUCAUUUAAAGAAAGUUCAAAGUGAGAAUAGGUUGCAGUAAUUGGGAACGGACAAAUUUAAACUUUUUCUGUAUGUAUUAGAUCAUUUAAAGAAAGUUCAGAGUGAGAAUAGGUUGCAGUAAUUGGGAACGGACAAAUUUAAACUUUUCCUGCAUGUAUUAGAUCAUUUAAAGAAAGUUCAGAGUGAGAAUAGGUUGCAGUAAUUGGGAACGGACAAAUUUAAACUUUUUCUGUAUGUAUCAGAUAAUUUAAAGAAAGUUCAGAGUGAGAAAAGGUUGCAGUAAUUGGGAACGGACAAAUUUAAACUUUUCCUGUAUGUAUCAGAUAAUUUAAAGAAAGUUCAGAGUGAAAAUAGGUUGCAGUAAUUGGGAACGGACAAAUUUAAACUUUUCCUGUAUGUAUCAGAUAAUUUAAAGAAAGUUCAGAGUGAGAAUAGGUUGCAGUAAUUGGGAACGGACAAAUUUAAACUUACACAUCCACCCACGGAAUUGAUCUUUGAAAACCAGUGAUUGUUUGCCGUCGCUGCUGUUACAUAUCAGAGCUUUGUGUUGUGGUGAGGAGGAGGAAUAGUUGCUGUGAUGAUGAAAUACACAUUGAUUUCUACCUGGUUUGUCUGAGAAUUUUUCCUAUGGGACAAUCCUAUCCUAUCUUGACAAUGUGGACUGUUUUAGUUUUUUUUUUAUAUGAAUUUGGUCAUUGAACAUCUAAACGUCACAAUGUACUAACAGUCUCCUAUCCUAUCUUGACGAUGUGGACUGUUUUAGUUUUUUAUGAGUUUGGUCAUUGAACAUCUAAACGUCACAAUGUACUAACAGUCUCCUAUCCUAUCUUGACAAUGUGGACUGACUUAGUUUUUUAUGAGUUUGGUCAUUGAACAUUUAAACUUCACAAUUUACUAAUAGUCUCCUAUCCUAUCUUGACAAUAUGGACUGUUUUAGUUUUUUAUGAGUUUGGUCAUUGAACAUCUAAACAUCACAAUUUACUAACAGUCUCCACUUAACCCGGUAGCAGCGACGGGACAAAUUUGUGGCUUUACCGUGUACCAGUGAUGGGCCAAAUUUGUGGCUUUACCGUGUACCAGCGACGGGCCAAAUUUUUGCCAUGAUAUAAACCCCCCAAAAUAGAGCCAAAUAAGAGGGAAAGAAAAGUGAGGUAUGAGACCAUUAAGUGUUUAAUUAACCGUGUAGCAGCGACGGGACAAAUUCGUGGCUUUAUCAUGUACCAGUGACGGGCCAAAUUUUUGCCAUGAUAUAAACCCCCCAAAAUAAAUGAUGCAUGAACUGAUCACAAAUGCAUUGAUAUAUAUUAUGAAAUGGUUUGCGUGAGUGAUGUUUUUUCUCAUUUUUCUGGCUUAGAGGGGCCUUUAAGAAACAUGAUCCCCGCAGCUACCGGGUUAAUUAAAGAAUUUGAGCCAUGGCUACUUAGAGACUGUGAAUCGGGCUCUGGUUCCAUCUCUUAAACCCCAAAGCCCAGUUGUAGGGAGGAAAAUUAAGUGCUAUUCAUCUUAUCAAUUAUUAUGAGUCUUAUUCUGUGUCUUUUUACUUUUUUUAUUCACCUUUUUAUGAUUUUGUUUUUAUUCAUUUCUCAUGUUUUUAUAUUAGGGCAUAGUUAUAGGGAGGGAAAUUUGAGCAGUACUGUAUUUAACUUAUUAAUUACUUUAUAUCUUAAGUCUGCUGCUGUCUCCAUUAUCUUUUUGUGUUGUUUUCUUAAGCCAUCACAUCCUUGGCUGUCACAUAGUACGAUCGAUAUGGACUUUUAUUUCUUUUAAUUUUCAGUUCAGUAUCUUUUUUUUUUUUUUUUUUUUUUUUUUUUCUAUGUGUUCGCCUAUAGCGCUGGUAGGCUUUUUUUCAGGGGCCUAGUGGUCGGCCCAAGCACGUCAUGGCACAGGCAAUUUUUAUAGUGGCGCCGUUCAUUCUUGGCUCAUGCUGCCCCCCGGAACUCAUUCUUGAUUCACUGGACGGUUUCUUCUAGAGUCCGGGUUGAUGGGUGGCCUUCAGGACAGCAUGUGGGUAGUCUUAGGCCACUCGGCGGUGUAUGAAAAAUCCCACUGUUUUUUAUUAUUGUCUUAUUUAUUUAUUUUUUGUUUUUUAUCUUUCCCGAGCAGCACAAGCCCAAAAGCCAACCCACACAGACUUCUUUACGCUUGUGUUAUGCUGUGACGUGCUUCCCGCUGCGGCUGGUGUGGCUUUUGUACCCUGACUUGCCGUGCUGUGAUUCUUGUCUCCACCCGGCACAUGACCACAGAUGUUGCGCCGACUAAACGAAACUUUCCAAACUUUUCUUGUCUCGACUUCUUUGCCUCUUUGUGAUGUGUGUUUGUGUGUGCAAUCUGAUGUGUUGAGGUGGCUUGCAUACACCGAUUCACAAGGCUAUGAUGCUUGUUUCUAUGUAUGUCUUUGGUUUUGUUUGGGUUCUUAAUAUAACAUCUCAGUGGAUUGAUUUUUAUUUGAUGUGAUGGUGAGACGAAUUUAACAGCAUCCUUGGACAGAUUAAUUAAUUUAUUCAUAAAGCUUAUACAUUUAUUUAAUUUAUUAUUAUUAUUAUUAUUAUUAUUAUUAUUAUUAUUAUUAUUAUUAUUGUUGUUAUUAUUGCAAUGGCCACUAACAUAUCAAUUCUUUUCCAGCAUCUAAUUUAAUUUAAUGUUUGUUCUAUAUUUUUAGUUGUGUAUUUUGUAUUACUAUUUUUAUUAUUAUCUUUAUUAUUACUAUUAUUAUCGUUAUUAUUGUCGUUGUUGUGGGUAUUUUUUCCUUUCUCUUCUUAUUUACCGUCUACAUAGCUGUUAUUUUGUUUCUUUCACCAGGCGCUUUCCACCCCUGCCCCCGAGACCUACUUCAAGGGGGAGGAAGAAAAGCCCUCGGUCGUGCCUGUCCACACACACACCGCUUACUUGAUCUAGCCUUAGCUCUCGUCCCCUGUCCUCACCCUCUUCAAGACAUUCCAAAGCUGGCACUUCAUUUGUUAUUUGUUUUUGUUGCUUUUCUCAUUUCUUAUUUUUUUCACAGCCUCAGUCACGCGCCUCUCCACACACACACACACAACGCUUAAUUGAUCCUCACCAUCUUCAAGACAUUCCAAAGCCGUCACUUCAUUUCUUAUUUAUUUUUUUUGUUGCUUUUCUCGUUUCUUAUUUUUUUCACAGCCUCAGUCACGCGCCUCUCCACACACACACACAACACUUAAUUGAUCCUCACCCUCUUCAAGACAUUCCAAAGCCGUCACUUCAUUUGUUAUUUAUUUUUGUUGCUUCAUAUCACGUUUCUUAUUUUUUUCACAGCCUCAGUCACGCGCCUCUCCACACACACACACA